ensembl:lncRNA
AACAUGACUCCUCAGUCAUUGAUAUUUCAAGCAUAAUUUAACAUGGAACAGACAUAGAAAAGGAAAUGCCUUCAUUUUGAGUUGCAAUUUUAGAAAUACAAACUAUCCACACAACUUACCAGCUGCAACCAUUUCUUUCUUCUGGGAUUUCAGCGCAAAAUCCUCCUGAAGACCUCAGCAAUCUCCCUCCCCUUUCCAGGAAAGAAUUGUUAGCUCAUUUUUAAGUAACGUCCAUACUAGCCUGGUGAACAGGACAUGAGCUUUCUUAACUGCGGAAGAAGUAAAAACUAGCAUUUUGUCAAACCCACACCAAAACUUAUUAAAAGUUUGACAAAAAGAAUUUCAGUGCUCUUCCUUCGUUGCUUCCCACACAAGUGGCCAUGCUGCUCAUAUUGUAGGAGUAAAACCUGUCUUACAAAGAUCGUUGAUCCUGUCAUUACUAAUCAGUUCUGAAUUUCAACCAGAAAGUAAAUACAGAGGCAUGUCACAUAACUCACCUUCUACAUGUGUAUCACCUUCACUUGUAUUAAAUAUUUGCUAAGAGGUAGAAGUGGGAGGAAGCCACUGAGACUGAAAAGAAGCCAGAAAUAAAUCCAGUUACUGCUUCCUGACCCUCAAUUUUAUUUGUUUUUUGGUGUUUUUUUUUUUCUUUAACCUUGCUGAGCCUUUGAGUUUUUUUGGACAUCUCAUCUUUGCCUCUAAACAAAUUCAGUGGUUUACCACCAGGGAACUAACUCAGCCACUGUUGUGGCAAAACAUGAGCUACACAGCACAAAAGCCAAGAGGUUGUUGCCAAGGAAGUUAUUGAUAAAGUUCAAUGUAAGUAAGAAAUUCAACAGCUGUUGAUCUGCUGCUCCGCUGGACUGAUACUUGGGUAGACCUGUUUAAUGAUCUGCUCAUUCACUGAACUCUGAUAUCAGGCCUGCCUCAGUAACUUGGGAUCUUGGAGAUUCCUUCUGAUCCCUCACCUUCUUCGAACAAAUAUCUAGCUUCCUGCCUUCCAUAGCACGGUCCCUCAGCUAAUUUCACUCUUUCCUCCCAAAAAUUCUCCAAUCUUCCUAUCCUGUUUUCUCCGCUGUCCACAGACACAGCUCUGCUACUGACAGGACAUUCAAUCUUUCUACUUUAUUCAGUGAGUACUACUUGAAUUAUCAAGGUAGAGGUUGGUUAAUACAGAAAAGACUUCUGUCUAAGCUGCCAUUUAAAUUUUUGACACCGUGUUAACUGAACUAGAUGUUUUCAAAUGUCAUUUUGCACUCUGUCAAAAAGCUUUCACCCAUAUUUCACCCUAUCAGAAAGACAAUGACACUGUUUAAUAUCAGUUGUUGAGAGACAUCCAAGAGGUGCUUCUAAAUCAUCUCCUUUGCCAUGUACCCAAAUGCUUACAGAUAAGAAUCAGUUCGGAAAUCACGACAGAAAUCGUCUAAGCAUAAAAUGGGGAGGUGGGGUGGGAUUUUGCGUGCUCCUCUUCACUGUGUAAUUCAAGUCUAGAUUUUCAAAGAUGCUCAACUCUAAGCAGCCAAAAUGCCUCUUCAGAAUGUGAGAAGACUGUGUACUUGUGUCUAAUUGUUGUGACAAAACUGUAACAGCAAAAUUUUAGGAUCUGACUUGCUUCUUUGGUACAAAUUUUUGCAUCUUAUAAGAGAAAAAAAUCUUUCAUUACCCAACUAACGUGAUUAAAUGUAUUUAUAUAUAAAGAAUAUAAGCACGUAUGUGUGUAAGUAUAUACAAUCAAAU